rnacentral:rRNA from 1 species
UACGUAGGGUGCGAGCGUUAAUCGGAAUUACUGGGCGUAAAGCGUGCGCAGGCGGCGCGUUAAGACAGGUGUGAAAGCCCCCGAGCUUAACUUGGGAAUUGCGCUUGUGACUGGCGAGCUGGAGUGUGGCAGAGGGAGGUGGAAUUCCACGUGUAGCAGUGAAAAUGCGUAGAUAUGCGGAGGAACACCGAUGGCGAAGGCAAUCCCCCUGGGCCUGCACUGACGCUCAUGCACGAAAGCGUGGGGGAGCAAACAGG